GACGUAGGGGGCAAGCGUUGUCCGGAAUCAUUGGGCGUAAAGCGCGUGUAGGCGGCUCGAUAAGUCUGCUGUGAAAGUUCAGGGCUCAACCCUGAAAUGCCGGUGGAAACUGUCGGGCUAGAGUCCGGAAGAGGCGAGUGGAAUUCCUGGUGUAGCGGUGAAAUGCGCAGAUAUCAGGAGGAACACCAAUGGCGAAGGCAGCUCGCUGGGACGGUACUGACGCUGAGACGCGAAAGCGUGGGGAGCAAACAGG
rnacentral:rRNA from 1 species